UUAAAAAUUGUUUAGUUUAAAGAUUGAAAUUUGUACUUAUAAAGCGAUAAAAAAAUCUAUUGAUUAUAAGCAAAGAAGGAAAACAUGGCUCAAAUUCUCAAGUUUUUUUAUAUUUUGAUUAUCUCUCUUUCUCUAUUUCUUGUUGGAAUCAGUAGAACUCGCAUUCCUUGUGAAUAUGAUGAUGAUUGUCCAGAGCAUUUUUUACCUCCAGUUAUGACAUGUGUUGCUGGUUAUUGUGUGUAUGAGAAAGAUUGUUUGUAAGCGCAUAGUUUUAUUUGUAUUAUAUAAUGUUUGUACUUUUAUAAUUUAAUUUUUAUUUCUUAGAUGUUUCAAAUGUUAACAAGCUCAAAAGUGUAUUAUAUUAUGCAUGUACUUUUACCUUAUUUUGCUCA